GACGAACGCUGGCGGCGUGCUUAACACAUGCAAGUCGAACGGAAAGGCCCUGCUUUUGUGGGGUGCUCGAGUGGUGAACGGGUGAGUAACACGUGAGUAACCUGCCCUUGACUUUGGGAUAACUUCAGGAAACUGGGGCUAAUACCGGAUAGGAGCUCCUGCUGCAUGGUGGGGGUUGGAAAGUUUCGGCGGUUGGGGAUGGACUCGCGGCUUAUCAGCUUGUUGGUGGGGUAGUGGCUUACCAAGGCUUUGACGGGUAGCCGGCCUGAGAGGGUGACCGGCCACAUUGGGACUGAGAUACGGCCCAGGCUCCUACGGGAGGCAGCAGUGGGGAAUAUUGCACAAUGGGCGGAAGCCUGAUGCAGCAACGCCGCGUGCGGGAUGACGGCCUUCGGGUUGUAAACCGCUUUCGCCUGUGACGAAGCGUGAGUGACGGUAAUGGGUAAAGAAGCACCGGCUAACUACGUG
rnacentral:rRNA from 1 species